rnacentral:tRNA from 1 species
GGGGGUAUAGCUCAGUGGUAGAGUGCAUGCUCAGCAUGCACAAGAUACUAGGUUCAAUCCGCAGUACCUCCG